rnacentral:rRNA from 1 species
CUACGGGACGCAGCAGGUACGAAAACUUUCCAAUUGCUUAACGGCUGAGAAGGGAACCUUGAGUGACCAUGCAUUGCAUGGUCUUUUCUUUAACCUAAAAAGUUAGAGGAAUAAGUGGUGGGUAAGACAGGUGCCAGCCGCCGCGGUAAUACCUGCGCCACAAAUAGUGAUCACGAUUAUUGGGUCUAAAGCGUCCGUAGCCGGUUUAGCAAGUUCCUGGUGAAAUCUGGCAGCAAACUGUCAGGCAUGCUGGGAAUACUACUAGACUUGAGAUCGGGAGAGGGUGGAGGUAUUCCAUGAGUAGGGGUUAAAUCCUUUAAUUCAUGGGGGACCACCGGUGGCGAAGGCGUCCACCUGGAACGAGUCUGACGGUGAGGGACGAAAGCGUGGGGAGCAAAACGGAUUAGAUACCCCUGUAGUC